UUCUGGCUCAGGAUGAACGCUAGCGACAGGCUUAACACAUGCAAGUCGAGGGGCAGCAUAAAAGUAGCAAUACUUGGUGGCGACCGGCGCACGGGUGAGUAACGCGUAUGCAACCUACCUAUCAGAGGGGAAUAACCCGGCGAAAGUCGGACUAAUACCGCAUAAAACAGGGACACCGCAUGGUGAUAUUUGUUAAAGAAAUUCGCUGAUAGAUGGGCAUGCGUUCCAUUAGGUAGUUGGUGAGGUAACGGCUCACCAAGCCGACGAUGGAUAGGGGAACUGGGAGGUUGGUCCCCCACACUGGUACUGAGACACGGACCAGACUCCUACGGGAGGCAGCAGUGAGGAAUAUUGGUCAAUGGGCGAGAGCCUGAACCAGCCAAGUCGCGUGAAGGAAGAAGGAUCUAUGGUUCGUAAACUUCUUUUGCAGGGGAAUAAAGUGCAGGACGUGUCCUGUUUUGUAUGUACCCUGAGAAUAAGGAUCGGCUAACUCCGUGCCAGCCGCGGC
rnacentral:rRNA from 1 species